UGGGGUGUAGCUCGGUUGGCAGGGCGCGCUUCGGGUGCGCGAGAUCCCCAGUUCGAAUCCGGACACCCCGA
rnacentral:tRNA from 1 species